CAUGCUCGCCAUGCACGCCAGGAAGAUCCAAGUCUUAUUCGGCAAGCAGCAUUGAAGAGGAUAAGCCCGGGGUCGCCAAUGAGUCUCCUCCACAGUAGAGCGAAGGCUUGCACUGGAAUAGAAACAGCCAGUCGCAGCAGCUGAGUCAUCCAUUCCAAACGAAGAAACUUUUGGAGAACUUGCCUGAAACGGGAAUUUUUGUAGCCUCAUGAGGUUGUUCGUAGUAGAAGUAGUCGCCCUUAGCAGCAGCAGUAGCGGGGGCGGGAUGGAUUCUUAAGGCCUUUUAAGUCGC
rnacentral:lncRNA from 1 species